rnacentral:rRNA from 1 species
UACGGAGGGUGCAAGCGUUAUCCGGAUUCACUGGGUUUAAAGGGUGCGUAGGAGGGCAGGUAAGUCAGUGGUGAAAUCUCCAAGCUUAACUUGGAAGCUGCCGUUGAUACUAUCUGUCUUGAAUAUUGUGGAGGUGAGCGGAAUAUGUCAUGUAGCGGUGAAAUGCUUAGAUAUGACAUAGAACACCAAUUGCGAAGGCAGCUCACUACACAAUCAUUGACUCUGAGGCACGAAAGCGUGGGGAGCAAACAGG